rnacentral:rRNA from 1 species
GACAGAGGUGCCAAGCGUUAGGCGGAAUCACUGGGCUUAAAGCGUGUGUAGGCGGAUUGGUAAGUACCUUGUGAAAUCCCCCGGCUCAACCGGGGAACGGGCGCGGAUACGACCUUCCUGGAGGGGCGUAGGGGGACCUGGAACUUCCGGUGGAGCGGUGAAAUGCGUUGAGAUCGGAAGGAACGCCCGCGGCGAAAGCGAGGUCCUGGACGCCUACUGACGCUGAGACGCGAAAGCCAGGGGAGCGAACGGG